CAGUAGCCGCGGGAAUACGUAGGGUGCGAGCGUUAAUCGGAAUUACUGGGCGUAAAGCGUGCGUAGGCGGUGAGUUAAGUCUGCUGUGAAAUCCCCGGGCUCAACCUGGGAAUGGCAGUGGAUACUGGCUCGCUAGAGUGUGUCAGAGGAUGGUGGAAUUCCCGGUGUAGCGGUGAAAUGCGCAGAGAUCGGGAGGAACAUCAGUGGCGAAGGCGGCCAUCUGGGACAACACUGACGCUGAGGCACGAAAGCGUGGGGAGUAAACAGGAUUAGAUACCCCCGUAGUCCCUGUCUCUUAUAC
rnacentral:rRNA from 1 species